GGCAGCAGUGGGGAAUUUAAUUGCACAAUGGUAGCGAAAGCCUGAUGCAGCGACGCCGCGUGGAGGAUGAAGGCCUUCGGGUUGUAAACUCCUUGUUAUUAGGAUGGACAACCAUAAUGAUCGGUACACCUGCCGAAUACCAGCCACGGCUAACUCGUGUGCCAGCACGCGGCGCGGUAAGACAGAGGUGGCAAGCGUUGUUCGGAAUUACUGGGCUUAAAGGGCGCGUAGGCGGUAAGAUAAGUCUGUGGUGAAAUCUUAGGCCGCUGUAACCCUAAAACUGUCCCAUGUGGAAACUGUUUUACUUGAGUCAGCGAGUAGGGAUGGUGGAAUCCUCCUGGGUAGCAGUGAAAUGCGUAGAUAUCUCGGAGCCGAAGGCCGGUACCGGCGAAGGCGGACAUCUGGCGCUAACUGACGCUGAGGCGCGAAAGCUGGGUAGAAACAGGAUUAGAUACCCUGGUAGAUUCCACGCGCCUAAUAAACGAAGUGGGCAUCCUAGGUGUAGGGUUCGUAAGGGUUUUGUGCCGUAGGGAUUGGAAACCAUUAUACCAAUGCGG
rnacentral:rRNA from 1 species